GUGUCAGCAGCCGCGGUAAGACGAAGGGGGCUAGCGUUGUUCGGAAUUACUGGGCGUAAAGCGAGUGUAGGUGGUUGUCCAAGUUGGAUGUGAAAGCCUUGAGCUCAACUCAAGAAAUGCAUUCAGGACUGGGCGGCUAGAGGACCGGAGAGGAUAGUGGAAUUCCCAGUGUAGUGGUGAAAUACGUAGAGAUUGGGAAGAACACCAGUGGCGAAGGCGGCUAUCUGGACGGUUUCUGACACUAAGACUCGAAAGCGUGGGGAGCAAACAGGAUUAGAUACCCUGGUAGUCC
rnacentral:rRNA from 1 species